UCAGCACCUUGGUGUUUUUCUGCUGUGUUU
rnacentral:piRNA from 1 species